CUUAUAAAUGAAGGAAGCUCACUCUGUCUUCUCUGGGGACGGCGCUGUCGAGCUGAUGGUGUUUUGGGCAAUACCUGGAUCUGAGAACUGGAAGGAUAAAUAAAUUCUAAGAACUGAUGUUCUCCAAGAUUGGAGGGAAGAUAGGAAGUUAUCUUCAAACUGGAGACCUGAAUCGAAUGUUUGCAGAGUAAAUAUUGCCCAAGACUGGUAGUGAUAUUAACCCUUUCGAUACCAACCCACCUGAAACUGCCUCUAACUCUAAUUUUCUAUGGUCAGGAGCUCUUCUUGUUCUCAACCCCACCUGUUUCCAAGUUUAUCAAACAAAAAACAGCCAGGACAUAGUUACAUGGAAAAUUGGAAAUGAAUGACACUGAAACGGGCCUUUUGUUUACAAAGCUCACAAAUGUCAAGAAGCUAGGAUAUGCUUUUGCAGUGGACUACAGGCAAACGACACAAUUGGCAGCACAAGGGCAACAUGAAAUCACCCCCACAAA